rnacentral:rRNA from 1 species
UACGUAGGGUGCAAGCGUUGUCCGGAUUUAUUGGGCGUAAAGAGCUCGUAGGCGGUUUGGCAAGUCGGGUGUGAAACCUCCAGGCUCAACCUGGAGACGCCACUCGAUACUGCUAUGACUUGAGUCUGGUAGGGGAUCACGGAAUUCCUGGUGUAGCGGUGAAAUGCAUAGAUAUCAGGAGGAACACCGGUGGCGAAGGCGGUUCUCUGGGAAUAUCCUGACGCUGAGGAGCGAAAGUGUGGGGAGCGAACAGG